GGGUGUGUUUGGUUUCAGGAUGAGGUGGAAUCGGACGGGUUGGUUCCAUCCCUAGCAGCCGUUCUCGUGUUUAGUUGGGUUAGGAAUCGGAAUUAGGUCAUCCGCAUGCAGGGAAUAUUCCCUCCAGAUGCUUCACCAAGUGAUUCCACCGAUUUGGAGGAAUCGACUCGUUAUUCGUUUGAGAUAGCAAAGAAAAAAA
rnacentral:lncRNA from 1 species